rnacentral:rRNA from 1 species
GACGAACGCUGGCGGCGUGCUUAACACAUGCAAGUCGAACGAGACGAUUGAAAGCUUGCUUUCAAAAGUCGAGUGGCAAACGGGUGAGUAACGCGUAGACAACCUGCCUUUGAGAUGGGGACAACAGUUCGAAAGGACUGCUAAUACCGAAUGUUGUAUAUUUUCCACAUGGAAGAUAUAUUAAAGAUGGCCUCUAUUUAUAAGCUAUCGAUCAAAGAUGGGUCUGCGUCUGAUUAGCUGGUUGGUGGGGUAACGGCCUACCAAGGCGACGAUCAAUAGCCGGUCUGAGAGGAUGAACGGCCGCAUUGGGACUGGGACACGGCCCAGACUCCUACGGGAGGCAGCAGUGGGGAAUCUUCCACAAUGGACGAAAGUCUGAUGGAGCAACGCCGCGUGAGUGAAGAAGGGUUUCGGCUCGUAAAGCUCUGUUGUCGGGGACGAAUGUGCAGUAUUUGAAUAAAGUAGUGUAAUGACGGUACCUGACGAGGAAGCCACGGCUAACUACGUGCCAGCCGCCGCAGUAA